UCAGAUGGCUGGAUGGCUGCUGCUCUUUUUUCGUAAAAGAGGAGAGGAAAGUCCGGGCUCCACAGGAUCAGGAUGCCGGGUAACGCCCGGCGGGGGCAACCCCAGGGAAAGUGCCGCAGAAAACAAACCGCCCCGCAUGCGGGGUAAGGGUGAAAAGGUGCGGUAAGAGCGCACCGCCGAUCUGGUAACAGAGCGGGCAUGGUAAACCCCAUCCGGAGCAAGACCAUGUAGGGACAAAGGCCAUGCAAAUGGCAGAUGCGAUCCUGCAUCUUUGUCCGGGUAGGUUGCUAAAGAUGUCUGGUAACAGGCAUCGUAGAUGAAUAGUCGUCACCAUCAGCGAAGGCAGAUGGUACAGAACCCGGCUUAUAGGCCAUCUGACAGC
rnacentral:RNase_P_RNA from 1 species